rnacentral:rRNA from 1 species
ACGCUCGACACCUACGGGAGGCAGCAGUGGGGAAUAUUGCACAAUGGGGGAAACCCUGAUGCAGCGACGCCGCGUGAGCGAAGAAGUUAUUUCGGUAUGUAAAGCUCUAUCAGCAGGGAANAAAUGACGGUACCUGACUAAGGACGCCCCGGCUAACUACGUGUCAGCAGCCGCGGUAAUCUGAGGCGGGCUGGCAAGGC